CACCUGUCUUUACCCUUGGUCUAAAAAAAAUCCACGCAGCAAGCAGGUCCAGGAUUCAAAUCAUUUUUAAAAAGUUUGCAUCCUUGCCUUGGGUUUGAGUUGGUUCUUGUAGUCGUCCAGAAUCCUCCCUGAAUCCCAGCGCCACUGGAUUUGGUUAAUUGGUGGAUCUAAAUUGGCCAUAGAAUGAUCAGAUGCAAGAGGCCAAAAUGUCCCCACUCAAUUGGACUGCAAAACAAACAAACUGUGCCAGAGGCUGCAGAGAGGACACAGAAGUGGCUGCAGGGUCGGAUCGUUCAGCCACGUGCUAAUGUUGAAAAAAGAUAUCUAGCCUUGACAGGAAGUAGAGCAUGUGCCUCACUUAUCUUUAACUGGAUUUUCUCAUUAAAGUCAAAUCUUUCAACUCCAAAGUCUUUUCUUUCUUUUUUCUUUUUCUUUUUUUAAGAGGCGAUCAAAUUUGGAUUUGAUGACAACUGCAGAAUAGAUAUUGACUUUGCAAACCUUGUGUGGCUUGGAGCUGGGGGGGAUCCAAAGGCCUUGAAUUGCAAAAGAGAAAAGAUAAACCACAUUUUAAACUUUGGCAUGUUGAACAGAUGCAGUCACCGAAAAAAACCCCCCCGCAAAAGAUUUAUAUUAGCAUCAAACAGGUAAUAAUUUAAGAUCUUUUAGUAACACACUGAAUCAAAGAAAGACAAAACCCCAGUCAUGUCUUUAAAACCUCUAUUUUUUAUUAACAAUGAAACACUUUUUAUCAGAACUUCUGAGCUGUGUUUAACAGUAAUUGCUACUACACCUGAUAAAUGAAUGUCGCUGUUAUUUUCCAAGCUGUACCUACGAAUAAAUGCAGUUUAAGACCUUUAAAAUGUGGUGCUUUUUCCUGCUUUAAGACCCACCGGCACUGUGAAUCAUCUUUAACACUUACCAUCAGCUGCCUGGUAAUAUUAGUCCUUCAGCUGCACUUAGCAGCGCACACAGGACACCCCUGUGCAGAACUGCACAGAGCAAACACCGCCAUCUGCUGGAGUGGACGUGGUUCAGCUGGUCACUAAUAAGAAGAGCCACCACACGCUUGUAUCAAACUAACAUCUUCUUUUAUUUGUAUUGAAGGUUACAGAGCAUCAGGUUUUUUUUUCUAUCAAAAUAAGUAGAUCAAAAUUCAAGCAAGAAUUCAAUAGCUUCUUGGGGGUGGGAUAGGUGGGUUUGUACAGUAAACAUAUGACAAUAUUUAAGUUUUUAAGCUUUAAAGUUUUCAUUUGAUGCAUCUAACCUGGUCAGUGAUUCAGUUUGAGAUGGAUGAGGCGAACACUCUGAUGAAUUCAGGGGAU
ensembl:lncRNA